GGUAGGGUGGCCGAGAUAGUAGGCAGCGAGUUGUAGCCUCGCGCACGAGGGGUUGAUGCCCUCCACUACCA
rnacentral:tRNA from 1 species